rnacentral:rRNA from 1 species
GACGAACGCUGGCGGCGUGCUUAACACAUGCAAGUCGAGCGGAGCGGCGAACGGGUGAGUAACGCGUGAGUAACUGCCCCCCUCUCUGGGCUAACAGUUGGAAACGGCUGCUAAUACCGGAUAGUGGGGGCUGACUCGCGUCCUUUGAGCUUGUUGGUGGUGUAGUGGCCUACCAAGGCGACGACGGGUAGACGGCAUGCGAGGUCGACCGGCCACAUUGGGCUGAGAUACGGCCCAAAGUCCAACGGUAGGCAGCAGGGGGGAAUAUUGCACAAUGGGGGAAACCCUGAUGCAGCAACGCCGCGUGCGGGAGGACGGCCUUCGGGUUGUAAACCGCUUUCAGCCAGGACGCGGUAGUGGCAGAAGAAGCACCGGCUAACUACGUGCCAGCCGCCGCGGUAAUAC